CGGGGUGUAGCGCAGCUUGGUAGCGCAUCUGCUUUGGGAGCAGAGGGUCGCAGGUUCAAAUCCUGUCACCCCGA
rfam:Actinomyces sp. S6-Spd3 contig286, whole genome shotgun sequence.